rnacentral:rRNA from 1 species
UAGGGAAUCUUCGNGCAAUGGACGGAAGUCUGACCGAGCAACGCCGCGUGAGUGAAGAAGGUUUUCGGAUCGUAAAGCUCUGUUGUAAGAGAAGAACGAGUGUGAGAGUGGAAAGUUCACACUGUGACGGUAUCUUACCAGAAAGGGACGGCUAACUACGUGCCAGCAGCCGCGGUAAUACGUAGGUCCCGAGCGUUGUCCGGAUUUAUUGGGCGUAAAGCGAGCGCAGGCGGUUAGAUAAGUCUGAAGUUAAAGGCUGUGGCUUAACCAUAGUAGGCUUUGGAAACUGUUUAACUUGAGUGCAAGAGGGGAGAGUGGAAUUCCAUGUGUAGCGGUGAAAUGCGUAGAUAUAUGGAGGAACACCGGUGGCGAAAGCGGCUCUCUGGCUUGUAACUGACGCUGAGGCUCGAAAGCGUGGGGAGCAAACAGGAUUAGAUACCCUGGUAGUCCACGCUGUAAACGAUGAGUGCUAGGUGUUAGACCCUUUCCGGGGUUUAGUGCCGUAGCUAACGCAUUAAGCACUCCGCCUGGGGAGUACGACCGCAAGGUUG